rnacentral:tRNA from 1 species
GUAGGUAUGGCUCAGGGGUAGAGUGCAUGCUUAGCAUGCAUGAGGUCCUGGGUUCAAUCGCCAGGACCUCCA